CGUGUAGGCGGUUGGGCAAGUCAGAUGUGAAAGCCUUCUGCUCAACGGAAGAAGUGCAUUUGAAACUACCCGGCUAGAGUACGGGAGAGGAGAGCGGAAUUCCCGGUGUAGAGGUGAAAUUCGUAGAUAUCGGGAGGAACACCGGUGGCGAAGGCGGUUCUCUGGUCCGAUACUGACGCUGAGACGCGAAAGCGUGGGGAGCAAACAGGAUUAGAUACCCUGGUAGUCCACGCCGUAAACGAUGGGCACUAGGUGUAGGAGGUAUUGACCCCUUCUGUGCCGAAGCUAACGCAUUAAGUGCCCCGCCUGGGGAGUACGGCCGCAAGGCUAAA
rnacentral:rRNA from 1 species